CCUACGGGUGGCAGCAGUGGGGAAUAUUGCACAAUGGGGGAAACCCUGAUGCAGCGACGCCGCGUGAGUGAAGAAGUAUUUCGGUACGUAAAGCCCUAUCAGCAGGGAAGAAAAUGACGGUACCUGACUAAGAAGCCCCGGCUAACUACGUGCCAGCAGCCGCGGUAAUACGUAGGGGGCAAGCGUUAUCCGGCUUUACUGGGUGUAAAGGGAGCGUAGACGGCAGCGCAAGUCUGGAGUGAAAUCCCAUGGCUUAACCAUGGAACUGCUUUGGAAACUGUGCAGCUAGAGUGCAGGAGAGGUAAGCGGAAUUCCUAGUGUAGCGGUGAAAUGCGUAGAUAUUAGGAGGAACACCAGUGGCGAAGGCGGCUUACUGGACUGUAACUGACGUUGAGGCUCGAAAGCGUGGGGAGCAAACAGGAUUAGAUACCCCGGUAGUC
rnacentral:rRNA from 1 species